UAAAACUGGAAUUGCCUUGUGCGUACUGG
rnacentral:piRNA from 1 species